ACGGAGAACAGAUAAGGGCUAACCGUAGAGAUGCGGCAACGAUCCCUGCGAUGGCGGGAUCGAUCGCGGUUUCCCCUCGGCUUUCUCCUACCUCGUGCUAGGAGCCAUUCAUCCAGCGUGACCUUCUCUCUGCACUUAGGCAUGCCUGCUCCCACCCCCCCUUUUGUGGCUACAAUAGGGAUGGUUUUCUGCCCUGCUACAAUUUUAGUUUUUUCUUUUCAUUGAUUGGUUGGUUGAUUGAUAAAAUGUCCGUGCGGUGUCUGGUUUAGUGUGGAGAAAUCUUCACAAAAAUACAUAUGUAUUGUAUUCUUUGAUGUUGCUAUUUCAUGCCCUCUAACUGUUUGUUAGUAUGCCUACAAGAACUAAGCAUCUUUUUUAUGUUUCUAUUCUAUAUCUUGAUCCAGUUAGGACUUUUUUGUGUGUACAGGACAACCCCAAUGAUCAUUCACCCAUUCCAUGUGUCGUGCUUAUCUUGAAAAACGGAUGUGCCAUAUAACUAAGUUGCUGGAGUGUACAAAUAUGGCAUGGUUGCCACUUCGGCAGAUUGUUCACUAGGUAUUGGAUUGAGAAGGUACGGGCUAGAUGAAAAUAUACAUUGCAUUAUUUGUUACUCAUUUUAUAAAACUAUUUAAUUUAUUCCAUUUAGAUGAAGGUAGCUUCAGCUUAUAGACAACCUUUUCUGAACAAAUAACAGAUGGUCUGAUUUGCUCUACUUCUCCAGGUUUCCUUGUGCUACUUGCAGUUUUUAUUCUCUGUGAUGAUGAUUAGCAUUCGGUCCAUAACUAAAUAAUCUCUAUUUAAUUAUGCUAACAUGUCACAAUUUCAUUCCUCUCUCCACUCAUUCUUUAGCGCCUUGAGGCCACUAGCGUUGCUUGCUAAGGAGAAACAUGCCUUUGGAUAAAAUUAUUUAAAAUUUACCAUGUUCUUCUAGGUUAAUUUUAAAACAUUUUUCAUGUAUUUCCACUUCUAAAGGGUGUUGCUAGUUUUUCUAUUUGAGUACUGGUUUGUUGCAGGGCAAAGCAUUUCAAAAGAAGCGUCAACCAUUGACUAGCAAUUUUGAUGCACCGAUUACCCUAAGAAGGCAAGCUAUUGAUCAUGUAGUUCAAAGAAAAAAUUGAGUCAAUUUUUAAAAGCUUCUUAUCACAGUUGUUUCACAUGUUUCCUAGCAUGAUGGAAGAUGAUAUGGUGAAUAACAUGAAUUACCUUGUGCUCGAUGAUGACCCACAAGUAUAGGGGAUCGAUCGUAGUCCUUUCGGUAAGUAAGAGUGUCGAACCCAACGAGGAGCAGAAGGCUCUGAUAAACGGAUUUCAGCAAGGUAAUAACUGCAAGCAUUGAAAGUAGCGGUAACAAGUGAUUGUGUAGCGAGGUGAAACGUAGCGAAUAAAAAGUAACAAGUAACAAGUAGUAGCAACGGUGCAGCAAGUGGCACAAUCCCUUUUGUAGCAAGGAACAAGUCUGAACAAAGUCUUAUAGGAGAAAAAACGCUUCGAGGACACACGGGAAUUUCUGUCAUGCUAGUUUCAUCAUGUUCAUAUGAUUCGCGUUCGUUAUUUUGAUAGUUUGAUAUGUGGGUGGACCGGCGCUUGGGUACUGUCCUUACUUGGACAAGCAUCCCACUUAUGAUUAACCUAUCUCGCAAGCAUCCGCAACUACAAAAGAAGAAUUAAGGCAAAGUCUAACCAUAUCAUUAAACUAGUGAAUUCAAAUCAGCCCCUUACGAAGCAACGCAUAGACUGGGGUUUAAGCUUCUGUCACUCCAGCAACCCAUCAUCUACUUACUACUUUCCAAUGCCUUCCUCUAGGCCCAAAUAUGGUGAAGUGUUAUAUAGUCGACGUACGUAACACCACUAGAGGAAAAACAACAUACAUCGUAUCAAAAUACCGAACGAAUAUCAAAUUCACAUGACUAUUAUCAGCAUGACUUAUCCCAUGUCCUCAGGAACAAAAGUAACUACUCACAAAACAUAAUCAUAAUCAUGAUCAGAGGUGUAAUGAAUAGCAUCAAGAAUCUGAACAUAAACUCUUUCAUCAAGUAAUCCAACUAGCAUCAACUACAAAGAGUAAUCAACACUACUAGCAACCUUACAAGUAUCAAUCGGAGUUGCGAGACGAAGAUUGGUUACAAGAGAUGAACUAGGGAUUGGAGAGGAGAUGGUGCUGAUGAAGAUGUUGAUGAAGAUGCCUCCCCUCCGACGAGAAGGGUGUUGGUGAUGACGAUGGCGACGAUUUCCCCCUCCGGGAGGGAAGUUUUCCCGGCUGGAUCGUCCUAUCGGAGCUCUAAAUUGGAUCUGUUCAAGUUCCGUCUCGUGGCGGCGGCGAAAUCACGAAAAAGCUCCCGUCUGAUUUUUUAUGGACCAAGACGCUUCAUAUAGCAAAAGAGGGGGCUAGUGGGCCGUCAGGGAGCCCACAAGCCCCUACUCCGUCACCAGGGGGUGGUGGUGUCAUGGCUUGUGGCGCCCUGGCAGCCCCCCUCUGGUAGUUCCCUCGUCCAGUAUUUUUUAUAUAAUCUCAAAAAAUUCCACGUAACUUUUCAGGGCAUUUGGAGAUGUGCAGAAUAGUGGACUAGGAUUUGCUUCUUUUCCAGUCCAGAAUUUCAACUGCCUGAAUUUCCCUCUUCAAAUAAACCUUGCAAAAUAAAAGAGAAAAGACAUAAAUAUGGUACCACAAGUAAUAUAACAGCCCCCAAAAAAAUAUCAACAUGAAAGCAUGAUGUAAAAUGAACGUAUCAACUCCCUCAAGCUUAGACCUCGCUUGUCCUCAAGCGAAAACCAAGUUUCAUAAACAUGUCCACAUGUUGAGGGACGAAGGUGUCGAUAAAACAUAAUACAUACAUGAGGGCAUCAUGAUCACACAUAGGACAACAAUACAUCAUAAAGAUUCUUAUGGGAAAGUAACAAUUCCUUCACAAAGCAAAGCAUGAAGCAAAAACCUUAUCGAGAAGUAACCAACAGUAGUCCAUAGUCAUUGAAGCAAUUGCAAUUUAUCACAACAUCACAAAGAGUCAAAUAAGAGCUUUUAAGGCAAACCCACAUACUCAAUCAUCUCUUUUUUUCACAAUUGUUACAACUCACGUGGUACUCAUGGUGUCGAAGUUUCAGCUGGACACAGAGGAAGAUAGGGGCUUAUAGUUUUGCCUUCCAACCAUUUACCUUAAAGGUAAAGUCAACAACAAUAAAGCAUAAGUACUCAACUCCAAGUUGAUAUAUGAAUAUAGAUCUUUUCCAAGCAUAUGACGGUAGCCAAGACAAAUGCAAAAAUAGAGAAUUGAUGAUGAUCAUCAUGACUCUUACAAGGGCAAAAAGUAAAGGUACAAGAUAGGCCCUUCGCAGAGGGAAGCAGAGGUUGUCAUGCGCUUUUGAGGUUUGAAUGCGUGUCCUCUUAGUGCGGAGGAACGUCACUUUAUAUUGCCUCCUGUGAUAAAGAACUUUAUUAUGCAGUCUGUCGCUUUUAUGUCUUCCUCAUCACAGAUUCGUACAAAGUUUAUUUUCCACACACUAAUAGAUCAUACAAAUUAGAGAGCAAUUUUUAUUGCUUGCACCGAUGACAACUUACUUGAAGGAUCUUAUUCAAUCCAUAGGUAGGUAUGAUGGACUCUCAUGGCAAAACUGGGUUGGAGGUUUAUGGAUGCACAAGUAGUAUCUCUACUUGGUACAGGAGUUUUGGCUAAUAUGAGGUGGAAGCAAUCGUCACAUGCUAAGGGAUCUCUAAUCAUAUAACAUUGUUUGAAAUCAAGCAAACACAAUUCAUUAUGUUGUCUUUCUUGUCCAACAUCUAUUCCUAAGCAUGUAAUAGUUUGGUGAGUGCUCACAAUUGUAAAAAGUGUCUAAGAUGAUAUAUUUAUAUAUGAACCUCUCUUUCCUUAUUACUUCUUAUUAAUUGCAACAAUGACUGAGGUCUAUG
rnacentral:lncRNA from 1 species